ACUCAAAUGAAUAGACGGGGGCCCGCACAAGCGGUGGAGUAUGUGGUUUAAUUCGAUGAUACGCGAGGAACCUUACCAGGGCUAGAAUGCAGUUGGACAGCCGGUGAAAGCCGGUCUUCCCGCAAGGGACCGAUUGCAAGGUGCUGCAUGGCUGUCGUCAGCUCGUGCCGUGAGGUGUUGGCUUAAGUGCCGCAACGAGCGCAACCCCUAUCAUUAGUUGCCAGCGGGUAAUGCCGGGGACUCUAAUGAAACUGCCAGCGUAAGCUGUGAGGAAGGAGGGGAUGACGUCAAGUCAUCAUGGCCUUUAUGCCCUGGGCUACACACGUACUACAAUGGCCAUUACAAAGGGCAGCUACUUGGCAACAAGAUGCAAAUCCCAAAAAAAUGGUCUCAGUUCGGAUUGAGGUCUGCAACUCGACCUCAUGAAGCUGGAAUCGCUAGUAAUCGUAGAUCAGCAAUGCUACGGUGAAUACGUUCCCGGGCCUUGCACACACCGCCCGU
rnacentral:rRNA from 1 species